rnacentral:rRNA from 1 species
GACGAACGCUGGCGGCGUGCUUAACACAUGCAAGUCGAACGGAAAGGCCCUGCUUUUGUGGGGUGCUCGAGUGGCGAACGGGUGAGUAACACGUGAGUAACCUGCCCUUGACUUUGGGAUAACUUCAGGAAACUGGGGCUAAUACCGGAUAGGAGCUCCUGCUGCAUGGUGGGGGUUGGAAAGUUUCGGCGGUUGGGGAUGGACUCGCGGCUUAUCAGCUUGUUGGUGGGGUAGUGGCUUACCAAGGCUUUGACGGGUAGCCGGCCUGAGAGGGUGACCGGCCACAUUGGGACUGAGAUACGGCCCAGACUCCUACGGGAGGCAGCAGUGGGGAAUAUUGCACAAUGGGCGGAAGCCUGAUGCAGCAACUCCGCGUGCGGGAUGACGGCCUUCGGGUUGUAACCGCUUUCGCCUGUGACGAAGCGUGAGUGACGGUAAUGGGUAAAGAAGCACCGGCUAACUACGUG